GGUGUUUCAACAGUUAACGGUAAAACUUCCGCCGUUAUUUUCAUAAAGUAUUUUUGUCGUUUUCUCAAUCCGACAAUAAUUCCGUUGUGGGGUCCACCAAUGAUUGUGUCGUUGCACGAAUAUUCCCUGUUAAAACGAAUAUUUCCUGAUCAAUCGAAUAUUAUAUAACAACUUGCGUACUUUACAAAAUUUAUAAAUAUUAUCCACAACUAUAACAUUAUAUCAAAUUUACUUCAUAAUAUUCAAAAAAUGAUAUUUAUAAAAAAUUCAUUUUUAUUUAAAAAGUUGAAGUCUUAUAAUAUAUAUAUAUAUAUAUAUAUGAUUAAUAGUAAUUUUUUAAAGUCAAUACAAUAUGAAACUUGUAAACUACUAUCUAAAUAGAAUGUACUUUUAAAAGUGCUUAAACUAUGGGUUUUGAACAAGUAUAUUACUAAUAUAGUUUAAUAAUUCCAUUCAUUACACAUAUUUACUUUUCCAAACAUUUUUUUUAAUAAUUUACACUAAAGUAACAUUUUUUACUAGUUUAAUUACUUUAUAUUUACUAAAUAGAAACCACUUUUCUAAAAUUACUUAUAAAUACAAUAGAAAACAAAAAUCUUCUUAAAUUGCUAUUCAAUCUACCGAAUCUUAAUGGGACUUGGAAGAAGCAAAGAUGAUAAAAAAAAAAAGAUUCAUAUACAUAUAUAUAGGGAAAAGGGUCAAAAAAGUCCUCGAUGUUUACCCCGAUGUCCCACUUGCACCCUAAAUUAAUUUUUUUUUCAAAAGUACCCUUAACGUUAUAUUUUUGGGUCGCUUGUGCCCCUGCUGUUAACAGAAUACAAACGGUGUUAAAAUCUGAUGACGUGGCAGGCUUAAUUAUAAAAUAUAUUUUAAAUAAAACAAUAUAUAUCAUUUAAUCAAAACAAAAAAUGCUAAAAUUCAAAAUAAAAAAAAGCAUAACAUAUUUACAAAAAAAUUUUAAAACAGAUUUGUUUAAAAAAAACAUAAUUUUUAAAAAAAUAGAAUUUUUUUAAAACGGAACUUUUUUAAAAGCAUUUUUUUUAAAAAAAAAUAUAGAAUUUUUUAAAAAUAGCUUUUUAAAAAAACAGAAUUUUUUAAAAACAAUUUUUUUUUAAAAAAACAUAAUUUUUAAAAAAAUAGAAUUUUUUUAAAAACAAACUUUUUUAAAAAAAUGAAAGCAAAUUUUUUUAAAAAAAAUAGAAUUUGCUUAAAAACAACCUUUUUUAGAAAACGAAAACAGAUUUUUUUUAAAAAAAAUAGAUUUUUUUUUUAAAACAAACUUUAAAAAAAACGGAACUUUUUUAAAAGCAGUUUUUUUUAAAAAAAUAGAAUUUUUAAAAACAGCUUUUUUAAAAAAAACAGAAUUUUUUUAGUAUUUUUAGUAUUAUUUUUUAAUUAGUAUUUUAGAAUUAUUUUUUAAUUAGUAUUUUAGUACUAAAAUACUAAUUAAAAAAAUACUAAAAUACUAAAAAAAAUCAAAUUAAAAAAAUACUAAAAUACUAACAUUCUGUUUUUUAAAAAAAUUCUAUUUUUUAAAAAAGACUUUUUUUAAAAAAUUCUAUUAUACUAAAAUUCUGUUUUUUUUUUAAAAAAAAACUGUUUUUAAAAGAGUUCCCUUUUUUAAAAAAAAAUGUUUUUUAAAAAAAUCUAAUUUUUAAAAAAAAUCUGCUUUUAAAAAAGUUACGUUUUUUUUUUAAAAAGUUUGUUUUAAAAAAAAUUCUAUUUUUUAAAAAAUUCUGUUUUUUUUUAAAAAGCUGUUUUUAAAAAUUCUAUUUUUUUAAAAAAAAAACUGUUUUUAAAAAAGUUUCGUUUUUUUAAAGUUUGUUUUAAAAAAAAUCUAUUUUUAAAAAAAAAAAAUCUGUUUUCGUUUUCUAAAAAAAUGUUGUUUUUAAGCAAAUUCUAUUUUUUUUAAAAAAAUCUGCUUUCAUUUUUUUAAAAGAGUUUGUUUUUAAAAAAAAUCUAUUUUUUUAAAAAAAAUUGUUUUUAAAAAAUUCUGUUUUUUUUAAAAGCUAUUUUUAAAAAAUUCUAUAUUUUUUUAAAAAAAACUACUUUUAAAAAAGUUCCGUUUUUUUUAAAAAGUUUGUUUUUUAAAAAAUUCUAUUUUUUUAAAAAUUAUGUUUUUUUUAAACAAAUCUGUUUUAAAAAUGUAACGUUAAGGGUACUUUUGGAAAAAAAAAUUAGUUUAGGAUGCAAGUGGGACAUCGGGGUAAACAUCAGGACUUUUUUGACCCUUUUCCCUAUAUAUAUAUAAUAUAUUUCCCUUGUAUCUCUGUCUCCUCACAUGGGACGGGACAACCCAAAAGAAAAGAAAAGAAAAAGAUUCCACGCACCAAAGAGGUGGUUUCUCUUUAUAUAAAAUAAAAUUAUUUAAAAAUCAAUUGCAACGUCAACUGAGCUGCACAUUUGGUAUGGAUUGGCUUGAUUUAACUUGUUUUUGUGAAUGUUCUUCUCCAAAUACCUAAUGAUGCCUUUGUUAUUAGCUAGCUCAGGAGUUGUAUAUUUGGGCGUAUUGAUUAGGGAAUGGAGAAAAUAAAAUGGGGGUAUGUAUCUAUCUUCCUUCUUGUGCAGUGCCAGUAACUAACCUGCUUCCUGCUUCCUGCUUCCUGCUUCCUGCUUCCUGCUUCCUGCUUCCUGCAAUAAAUAAAAAGCAAGCAUUACUUAAUACUUAUUAUUGGUCCAUAAUUAAUUUGGAUUCAGUAUACAAAAACAAAAACAGAAUACAACUACUGUUAACAAGAAAUACAAUGAAAAAUUACAAGCAACAGACCAGAUC
rnacentral:lncRNA from 1 species